ACCGAAGUAGCUCAGUUAGCAGAGCGUUAGACUCUAUAGAUCGAAAGUCCCUGGUUCGAUCCCGCGUUACGGGA
rnacentral:tRNA from 1 species